UGCGGAGUGUGGCUGGACACGGCGGAGCUGAAGCGGGGCCGGGCGCGGCCCCUCACGCUCAGAGCACCCAGAGCUGCAGGGAGGAAACAGAGCCUGGGGCUGCUCCCACAGCCCGGCAGCGGGGACAGCAGCAACCCCAGGCAAAACAUCAUCCCCGGGCACAGCUCCAGCUCCUGGCAGAGCUCCAUCCUCAGCUUCUUCAGCCCCCAGCCAGAUGACAAAGAGAACCGCGGGCCCGCUGCUGCCCGUGAGGAGCCCCUGGUGAAGAUCCUGCCCCUGCCCCAGCUGGAGGGAGCCCGGGAGGAGCCCCCCGGGGCUGGGCAGGGGCUGCAGGGCCCGGCCCGGGCAGCACAGACACCCCCGGAGCUCAGGGGGGGCUCCCGGGGGCUCGGCAGAGCCUCCCCCGGGGCCGGGGGCCGUUCCUGGGGCCGGGGCAGGGACGAACCCCGGGUGUGCCCUGCAGGAACGGCCCCGGGGGCCGGGACAGCUCUGCCCUGCCCCAGAGCCGGGGCUGGGGGCGCAAUCCCGGCCCCGGGGGCUGCUCCCAGCCGGGGCUGCUGCUCCCCACAGAGCCCGGGGCCGGCACGGCCCCUGCGGGAGCGGGGCCAGGUCCGGGUGGGGCCCUG